UACGUAGGGUGCGAGCGUUGUCCGGAAUUAUUGGGCGUAAAGGGCUCGUAGGCGGUUUGUCGCGUCGGGAGUGAAAACCAGGGGCUUAACUCAUGGCUUGCUUCCGAUACGGGCAGACUAGAGGUAUGCAGGGGAGAACGGAAUUCCUGGUGUAGCGGUGAAAUGCGCAGAUAUCAGGAGGAACACCGGUGGCGAAGGCGGUGCUCUGGGCAUUACCUGACGCUGAGGAGCGAAAGUGUGGGGAGCGAACAGG
rnacentral:rRNA from 1 species